UAAAAAUAAAACACAUGGGAGUGCACAAUCAGGUAGAUUUCAAUGGGGGGAAAAAAAUAGAGAUUUAAAUUAAUCAAAAAGCAACGCUUCGAGCCAAUCAAGCAUUGCACACAAACAGAGUACAUAAAUAGUUUUCUUGGGAACAAAUCGAAGCAGCAAACAAUCAAGAAAGAUUUCAUAAAAAAAUAAAAAAUAAAAACCAGAUAUUAAUAAAGAUUCAUCUAGAACAAGAACUGAAAUAUAACCAAUAAAAACCUUAAAACAUAUUCUUUCAAUUUUAUUCCCAAUCAAUCUGGAACCCAAUUAGGUCUUCAUACACUCACACACACUCAAGCAGGUGUUUGUGUCAAGGCAAUGGAAUAUAAGCCACAAUAAAAGCAAAACAAUGGAUAACUAGGCUGAGACAAAUUGAAAGGAAUUCUGUUAUGCAUCUUCCUGCCCAUUAGUGGAAGAAUUUCAUUUAAGGUCAAACCAUCAUAAGGUAUAUUACAUGGGAGAAUUUUUAAUUCGAAAUAAAAACAAAUUAUCAAAGAGAGAAAGGGAGGAAAUCCCAGAACUUCAGAGGAAGAGUUUUAAGUCAACAUCUAUGAAGCACGGGUACUCCAAAAAAUGUUGUCGUACAAGUAUCGAGUACUUCCCAGGUGUAGGUACGCGUACCGGUACGGCUGUACGCAUACUGAGUAGGCCAAAAACGCACUGGGUAUGUUUAUACGAUAAGUAUACGGAUGGGUACGCCAUGGGUACGUUUUGGAUACUCCGAGAUAAAAAAUGAGAUUUUUUAUAAAUUAAAAGGUACCGGAGCAAUUUUUAUGUUUAUUGUAAAGAAUUAUAAAAAUCUAAGGUUCUUUUGUAAUAAAUAAAACAUAAAUAAAACAUAAAUAAAACAUGAAACCAAAUAAAAUGAGGGUUCUUUAUUCUUUCUAUCAUUCGAUCAUCUCAGCUCCUUCCAUAUCUCAUUCCAAAAUACUCCAAGACUGAAGAACUUCGAAGGUGCUAGGGUUCCAUGUCUAUUCGGUCAUCUCCUUCCAGAAGUACUCCCAAGAGAGUCUGAAGAACACUUCGAAGGUGCGAUUGAAAGGUUUAAUCGAAGGUGCUGCUGAUUGAUUCUCUCUCAUUCGAAGGUGCGAUUGAAGGGUAUAAAUGAUUUCUUAAGUCAUGUAAAUCUUGGAGAGCGUACCAUCAAAGGAUGCCUUGAAGCUUACUCUUGCAAACAUACGGGAAGUGAUAAGAAAUUGUCUCUCAGGUUGGAGCAUGAGGCAAACAUACGGGAAGUGAUAAGAAGUUGUCUCUCAGCAUGGAGCAUGAUGUAACCCAAAUUUAUGUAGUUUAUUUUAUCCAUGGAACAAAAUUUCAGUUUCUCCCCAUUGGAAUAGUGGAAAUGUUUUUGUUUUGAGGGAAACUGGAAUGAAACACUUGUGAAAUAUUGAUGUUUUAGUAUUCAUCAAAACAAAUUAUGUAGUUUAUUUUA